AGUACAGGGGCUUGGCCUGAGGAUUGCUUAGAUGGAGGUUGGAACCAGAGCCAUGUGGAGUGUGGAGCUGGGGGAUCAGAGGCUCCUAGGUACAUAUUAGACAAUGAGAAUGGUCAGCCUGGGCAGAGAGUCCCCUGCACUUCAGUGUCUUCAUCUGCAAAAGGCCCAAAGUGCAGUGGGUAAGACCACGGUAUCUGGAGCCAUGCCUGGUUACUCCCAGCUCUGCCACUGUCAGUGUGACUGAGAAGGGAAAACCCAUUGGUGGGAGAGGUGGCUGGGUCUCCAGGAGAAGGGACUGUGCUACACCGCAGCAAGCAUAUACUGAAAGAAGAUCAGAAACAGUUCACAUUCACGUGGAAUGGACAACAAUAUACAAUCAUAGUUUUAUCCCAGGGCUGUGUGGAUCCUCUUCUCCUUGUCAUAAUAGUCCAAAAGAGAUGUAGACCAUGUGGACAUCCUGCUGAACAUCACAUUGAUCCAUGGCAUCCAUGACGUCACACUGACCAGGAGGCGGAGCAAGAGAUUCUUCCUGCAGUCAUUUAUUUACCACUUAUCACAGGUUUACGUGCCUGUCUCACCUGGAAAAAAGACUCCAGGGAAAGACCUGUUACGAAGUCACGUGAAGGAGAAACUAGACCUGUUCCUUACAGUCCCCUAAGCAGAACCGGGGCUUCUGGGUAAAAGUGAUGGGAAGCCAAUACCAGUCAUCACAUAGAAGGUGUUUUCUGGUCCCGAUACUUCUAGGCCAUGGGUCCGGCUGCCUGUGAGACCUCUUCGGAAGCACGCAUGGCCGGUCCUCUGUGAAUUGCCAAAUGGACACAUUUAGGGAAACAAUCAAGUCUGCUCAGAUGAGGACGUUAACAAGAAGACGGGGGGCAUGUACUCAGGUGGUCAGAACAAUGAGUUGGAAGGGCUUCGCUUUUGCUCUCCUCCAGCUUGUUCGGUGUGCAUUCUGCCUGCCACAGAAAAGGGCUCAGGACAGAGAAGUCAUGGGAUCUGCCCUCGUCUCCAAAGACUCGAGUUUGGAUCCAAUAAGAGAAAGAGAGGGGGAGGGAGAGGGUGAGAACGUCAAGUGAGAAUCAAACUCUGCUUUGCAUUGAGGAAAAUGACCAACAGUGAUGCUGUCUAGUUACUAUAAAACAAACAUUUAAAUAACAGAAUGACUGUAUAACUAGUUUGUUUUCUCAACUGUAAGAGUUGAUGAUACGCCCUCAUGGAUUUGGUAUUUUUUCCUGUUCGCUUGGACUUCGAGUGCAAAGACUCGAGUUGGUCACACUCCUCCCUGCUGAUUUCCCCUUCCUCCCAGAUGCUCAUCCCAUCCCUGACUGCCCUCCUCAGCCCAGGAAUCCAUGCCAAUGCAUUUUCUAAUAUCCUUGAAAUGUGCUUGUCUUUAUAAAGUGUGCAUUUGGGGGAAUUAGUUUACAAAAAUGGCAUGAUGCUGCGAAUCUUCCUGGUCUCUCCUUUUC